AAGGAACGCUUUUAUUAGAUCAAAAUCAAUCGGUGUUGUUGCUUCGGCAAUAAUUAUCGUAUAUGUUGGUGAGUCUGAAUAACUUUAUGCUGAUCGCACGGUCUAGCACCGGCGACGUAUCUUUCAAAUGUCUGCCUUAUCAACUGUCGAUGGUAGGUUCUGCGCCUACCAUGGUUGUAACGGGUAACGGGGAAUCAGGGUUCGAUUCCGGAGAGGGAGCCUGAGAAACGGCUACCACAUCCAAGGAAGGCAGCAGGCGCGCAAAUUACCCACUCCCGGCACGGGGAGGUAGUGACGAAAAAUAACGAUACGGGACUCAUCCGAGGCCCCGUAAUCGGAAUGAGUACACUUUAAAUCCUUUAACAAGGAUCAAUUGGAGGGCAAGUCUGGUGCCAGCAGCCGCGGUAAUUCCAGCUCCAAUAGCGUAUAUUAAAGUUGUUGCGGUUAAAAAGCUCGUAGUCGGAUUUGUGUCCCACACCGCUGGUUCAUCGUUCGCGGUGUUAACUGGCGUUUUGUGGGACGUCCUGUCGGCGGACUUAGCUUGUAAAGGCGGUCCAAUUUAAUCCUGCCGCGGUGCUCUUCAUUGAGUGUCGAGGUGGGCCGACACUUUUACUUUGAACAAAUUAGAGUGCUUAAAGCAGGCUAAAAUUUUGCCUGAAUACUGUGUGCAUGGAAUAAUAGAAUAGGACCUCGGUUCUAUUUUGUUGGUUUUCUGAACCCCGAGGUAAUGAUUAAUAGGAACGGAUGGGGGCAUUCGUAUUGCGACGUUAGAGGUGAAAUUCUUGGAUCGUCGCAAGACGGACAGUAGCGAAAGCAUUUGCCAAAAA
rnacentral:rRNA from 1 species